CCUACGGGAGGCAGCAGUGGGGAAUAUUGCACAAUGGGCGAAAGCCUGAUGCAGCGACGCCGCGUGAGGGAUGACGGCCUUCGGGUUGUAAACCUCUUUCAGCAGGGAAGAAGCGAAAGUGACGGUACCUGCAGAAGAAGCGCCGGCUAACUACGUGCCAGCAGCCGCGGUAAUACGUAGGGCGCAAGCGUUGUCCGGAAUUAUUGGGCGUAAAGAGCUCGUAGGCGGCUUGUCACGUCGGGUGUGAAAGCCCGGGGCUUAACCCCGGGUCUGCAUUCGAUACGGGCUAGCUAGAGUGUGGUAGGGGAGAUCGGAAUUCCUGGUGUAGCGGUGAAAUGCGCAGAUAUCAGGAAGAACACCGGUGGCGAAGGCGGAUCUCUGGGCCAUUACUGACGCUGAGGAGCGAAAGCGUGGGGAGCGAACAGGAUUAGAUACCCUGGUAGUCCACGCCGUAAACGGUGGGAACUAGGUGUUGGCGACAUUCCACGUCGUCGGUGCGCAGCACGACAUAACGUUACCCGUCCGUCGGGAGGUACGGCCGCGACGACGUAAACCUAACAAAGAAGUAGUACGGACGNGAGACGAGCGACGACGACGACGACGGAGGAGG
rnacentral:rRNA from 1 species